rnacentral:rRNA from 1 species
GAUGAACGCUGGCGGCGUGCCUAAUACAUGCAAGUCGAGCGAACGGACGAGAAGCUUGCUUCUCUGAUGUUAGCGGCGGACGGGUGAGUAACACGUGGAUAACCUACCUAUAAGACUGGGAUAACUUCGGGAAACCGGAGCUAAUGCCGGAUGAUAUUUUGAACCGCAUGGUUCAAAAGUGAAAGACGGUCUUGCUGUCACUUAUAGAUGGAUCCGCGCUGCAUUAGCUAGUUGGUAAGGUAACGGCUUACCAAGGCAACGAUGCAUAGCCGACCUGAGAGGGUGAUCGGCCACACUGGAACUGAGACACGGUCCAGACUCCUACGGGAGGCAGCAGUAGGGAAUCUUCCGCAAUGGGCGAAAGCCUGACGGAGCAACGCCGCGUGAGUGAUGAAGGUCCUCGGAUCGUAAAACUCUGUUAUUAGGGAAGAACAUAUGUGUAAGUAACUGUGCACAUCUUGACGGUACCUAAUCAGAAAGCCACGGCUAACUACGUG